AAAGCCCAACUGCAAGAAAAGGAACUUGAGGCAAUGAUAGCAUCUCCUUAGUGACAAUGCCAGCACGUCUCCGAAGAUAUAAGAUUGAGAAAUAAACAACAACAUAUCUGCAUUAUGGAAACAGAAGAUUACAGGUUAGACUGAACGAAGAGGAGAACUAGAUGAGAAGUGACUCAGAACCUUACAUGGUGAAAGUGAUACUUGCUCUAACUGAAACAAGACUCGAUUCUCACAAAGAUAAAGACACAUGACGCCCCAGUAAAAAGGAUCAAAUGCAUCAUUGUGGAGGGCAAUAGAAGUUGAAGAAGACCUAGGAGAACGUGGGAGGAACAUAUUAAAAGUGACAUGCAUGAACUUCACCUCUCCAAGGACCUGACCAAGGAUAGGGGCAGUUGGCGGCGCGUUAUCUACGUCUUAGAUUACUAAAUCCAUCCCUUUUACCCAUUUGUUCAUUGCCUUUGUUUAUCAUCUUUACCUCAUUCUUUACUUUUAUCUUUAUUUUUAGUUAUUUGUACGUGAUCUAUUUAUUCUUUUUGUAAGUUGUAGGUUUCGGUUAGUGAAAUUUUACUUUAUUGUUUUGCUUUAUUCAAAUAAUCUUCCUUUUUAUUAGAUUAUUAAUGUAACUUUUAAACAUCUAUUAUAUUUAAUCAAGUACG